UAGACGAAAAGGGAAAAUUUUCAUUUUUUGAUGAAUAGUGCCGUAUUCGUGAAUAGUGUCGUAUACGUGAAUAGUGUCGUAUACGUGAAUAGUAACUCCGACACCAAAAGUUUCAAAUUUGAUAAAAAUUUCAGAUCAAUAUUUCAGCAUAAUGAUAUUGAAGAAAUAAUAUCAUUACUAAAAAAAUAAUAUCCCUUACCUCGAAAGACAGUACUUCUAGUUGAAACACCGGAUAUAAGCUAUGACUUGAACUUGCACCGUAUAGCAUCAGUACUCAAAGUAUACUCAAAAUACUCACAAGAAUACGCUCGAUAAUAUAAAGAGAGAAAAUUUCAGUUUCUGGUGUGAUUUUCAAUUCUAACCUAAGCACCCUAUUUAUAGGAAAAUGCUUAAAAAAUCAAAGUAGAAAAUUUAUUAAAAUAUAUAUAUA
rnacentral:lncRNA from 1 species